CACACCGCCCGUCACACCAUGGAAGUCGGCUGCUCCAGAAGUGGCUGAGCUAACCCGCAAGGGAAGCAAGUCCCCAAGGAGUGUCCGGUAACUGGGGUG
rnacentral:rRNA from 1 species